rnacentral:rRNA from 3 species
GCGAGUGAAGCGGGAAGAGCUCAAAUUUGAAAUCUGGCGUCCUUCGGGCGUCCGAGUUGUAAUCUAUAGAAGCGUUUUCCGCGCUGGACCGUGUCUAAGUCCCUUGGAACAGGGUAUCAAAGAGGGUGAUAAUCCCGUACUUGACACGACCACCAGUGCUCUGUGAUACGUUCUCUACGAGUCGAGUUGUUUGGGAAUGCAGCUCAAAAUGGGUGGUAAAUUCCAUCUAAAGCUAAAUAUUGGCGAGAGACCGAUAGCGAACAAGUACCGUGAGGGAAAGAUGAAAAGCACUUUGGAAAGAGAGUUAAACAGUACGUGAAAUUGUUGAAAGGGAAACGAUUGAAGUCAGUCGUGUUCAUUGGACUCAGCCAGUUCUUCUGGUCUAUUUCCUUUGAACGGGUCAACAUCAGUUUUGUCCGGUGGAUAAAGGUAUUAGGAAUGUGGCUCUUUCGGGAGUGUUAUAGCCUAGUAUUGCAUACACUGGGGGAGACUGAGGACUGCAGCUCGCCUUUUGGCCGGGGUUCGCCCACGUUCGAGCUUAGGAUGUUGACAUAAUGGCUUUAAACGACCC